AUACGUAGGGGGCAAGCGUUAUCCGGAUUUACUGGGUGUAAAGGGAGCGUAGACGGAAGGCCAAGUCUGAUGUGAAAGCCCGCGGCUCAACUGCGGGACUGCAUUGGAAACUGGUCAUCUGGAGUGCAGGAGGGGUAAGCGGAAUUCCUAGUGUAGCGGUGAAAUGCGUAGAUAUUAGGAGGAACACCGGUGGCGAAGGCGGCUUACUGGGCUUUUACUGACGCUGAGGCUCGAAAGCGUGGGGAGCAAACAGGAUUAGAUACCCUGGUAGUCCACGCUGUAAACGAUGAAUACUAGGUGUAGGGGGUAUCAACUCCCUCUGUGCCGCAGCAAACGCAAUAAGUAUUCCGCCUGGGGAGUACGGCCGCAAGGUUGAAACUCAAAUGAAUUGACGGGG
rnacentral:rRNA from 1 species